CCAUUCUCCAGAUUUCUCAGACAGUUGGAGAAGCAUUGGAUGUAGUUCUUGCUCUGACAUAGGUCUAAUGGUGGCCCAAAGGUAUCACCUCUGCAUAUUUCUGAGAAUCAUCUAGGAGGCUCAUCCUAGAAUUUGCUCCUUUGGCCCUUCCAAUACAUUUGCAAGCUUCAAAAUCCCUGAAUUAAAUCCCUAUCUGCUUAAAGUACCUAGAGUGGUUUCUGUUUCAUGCAAUGAACCCUGACUGGCCUCUUAUCUUUUGUUGCUUUAUCUAGUUUACAAAGUAGGCUGUGUGAUACAGUGAAAGAGAUGUUUUACAAUUGAAUUCAAACCCUGGUAUGUGAGGUCACAUAAUUUUUCCUAGCCUCAGUUUCCUUAUUUCUAGAGUAAAGGAGGAUCAUAGUUACUUCCAAAGAUAAAUACAUCUUUAUUAAUGUAUACCUUAUAAAUAAAGUUCCUCUCUCAGCAUAAAGCAUAGAAUUGGUUCUUUAAAAGUCCUCUAUUCUUUCACAUACAUACAUCAGGCCAUUUAUAUCAAGUCUCAUUCAAUGAAUGUAAGAUACUCAGCAAAAAUUAUCUUUUUCCUUUUUCCUGCUCACAUAUGUAAUCUUGUCUAUAUUAUAUUCUUAAUGUAAAACAAAUAUUAGUUUUUUCAUGAAAUCUAUGGAUCUGAAUACCCACUAGGCACAUAUUAGAUUAUCAAAAAAAAUGAAUUUGAUUAAUCUAUAUCAAAACUUAUCACAACAAGAUUAUCAGUUUAUAAAUAUUGACUCAUGAACUCUCUCAUAUGCUAUUAGAGAAUGUCAAAAGAAAACUACUCAAAAAGCCAAGGUUUACAAAUGAGACACCAAUUAACUGCCUAACCAUUGAGCUCUUGUUUAUUGUAAAGAACUAAAAAAUGGUGAUUUUUUUCCUACAUUGAUAACACUUUAAACCUCAUAAUCUUUGAGGUAGGUAUUAUUAAGCAAUUAAGAGUACUGAUGGAGUCGAGCCCCUUCUAACCAUGUGACCCUAGACAAGUUUUCUAGCUUCUUUGAACCCCAGUCCCAACAGUUAUGCAUGAGUAUAAUAAAAGUUCCUAUCUGCCUGGGCUAGUAAUAGAAUGAAAUAAGCCACUAGGCACAGUGGCUCACACCUACAAUCUCAACACUUUGGGAGGCCAAGGUGGGAGGAUCACUUGAGUCCAGGAGUUCAAGACCAUUCUGGGCAACAACAGUGAGACCCCAUCUCUACACAAAAUGUAAAAAUUAGCCAGCAUGCUGGUGCAUGCCUGUGGUCCCAGCUACUUGGGAGGCUGAGGUAGGUAGGAGCAUCACUUGAGCCCAGAAGGUCAAGGCUACAGUAAGCUGUUAUCAUACCACUGUACUCCAUCCAUCAUGGGCAACACAGCAAGACCCUGUCUCAACAACAACAACAAAAGCCAUUUGGUGUUGUUAUGCUCCUUUACAUUCUAUACUCUGGAAUCUCUUGUACCUAGUCCUAAGAGAUGAUAUUUCCAUACACUAACCAGCUUCCCUAAACUCCUUUUUCCUUGAACUUCACUGCAAUCAAAUUCUUUCUAUUUGUGCUGUGAACCUGGAAAAAUGCAACUGCUUUCUUUAACUUUCUCCUGUCUCUCCUCUGUUCCCUUAAGAUUUGGAAUUCAAUCUUGUGAUUGCUUCCAUCCAAGAUACUCAUCUGUCUUUAGAUACCCCACUGUUGACCAGAUACAAAACACAAAGGGCAUCUGUCCUCCUUGAUUUUUAUUGUUUUGUGCACUAGGGGAUGCCCCAGGGGAUGCAGCUCAGAACCCUGUUUGAUGAUCUGCAGCCUGAUGUGUUGUCCUUUGGCAGCCAACUGGGUCAAGUUUCCCAAUAGCAAUCUUCAAGGCUUUAGCCCAUCAAGACAAGAUCAGAGGAGCAUUCAUCUUGGUCAUUGCACAUGUUUAUCCCACUGUCUAGAAUACUUGUCCCUCCCUUUUAUUCUUGUUUUCCUUCCAAAUUACUUGGCCACAUCAACUUACAUGUCGGGUCUCAGCUUAAGUACAUUUCCUCCACAAGGCCUUUCUGAAUUCUCGGACAAAAUUAAAGGCCUCUUCCCCAUAUGUUCCAAUAGUUCUCUCUACUUCCCCUUUCAUAAUAUUACCUCUCCUGUAAUUAACUGUUUAAUCCUCUGACUUUAUC
rnacentral:lncRNA from 10 species